GACAAUUCGCACGGACAAGAGGUUAUUCCAGGUUACUCGACGUGCAACGUGCAUCUGAUUAUUCAUUUUUUGUGCAUUUGUGAAUUAUACCAGUAUUAACCAGAGCACGAAAAAACACUGGCUAUACAGCAAAUAUAAGUAACCGCCUUAUUCACUCACUCCUGGAUCUAACAGAUUCGAAAUCUUCAAGUAAUAAUAAAUCAUCUGCAAGAACACCAGCUCCGUCCACGCCAGCCACAAUAGCAACAACUGCUAACAAAAGCUUUGCGAUUUGCAAAAUUUUCAUAGACCCCAAGACAGAACGAUAUUCAAGGAAGAAAUAUUAGAAGUUUUGCGCACAGUGAAGCAACGAUAUCGUAACAAAAGAAAAAAAUCAAUGAAUGAUGAAAGAGAUGAGGAAUCUGAUCUCGACGGGGACGAAUCAUUAGAUUCAACCGAUUAUGAAACAGAUUUAUAAACAAAUGUUUUUAUAUAUAGUCUA